rnacentral:lncRNA from 1 species
GUAUUGACCAUUUCUCAGCUUCAGUAUCAUCUCCACCUGCAGCAGAGUGUUCAGAUACUUCCCCCUACAGAGAACUGGAGAGAGGCUGAUUACAGAAAAAUAAGCACUUGCUUCCGGCCGACCGAAAGCCAGGCGAGGAGACUGAGAGUCUUGUGGGUAAGCAGGUGGAGUAUGUUACUGACAAAGGUGUGAAGCGAACAGGCCUAGUGAUCUACCAAGUCCCUGCCAAGCCCUCUGUAUACUACAUCAAAUACGACGAUGACUUUCACAUCCAUGUCUACGACCUGGUCAAGACCACAUAGGACACUUCUUUACUCACUCCAUCGCUUACUUUUCACUUAUCCUCCUCUCUCUAUCUCUCGAACUCUCUAAAGGCCCUGGAGGGUUUAACAGUUAUGCUUUGUCAUUCAGGAAGUGCAAUCUAUUAGUCCACAUUCAAUCUAGUUCUAUGAUAUGCACAGCAGAACUGUAGCAAUGCUAUUGUAGGCCACUAGGAGGAGGGUGGGAACGUGUACACUUGGAAGGACCUUUUUACCCUCCCCACUUCUUUGGUUACCCCAUUUUGUGGUUGUGCUCCACCGUAGACUCACAUCUUGGACAGUCCAGGAGUGCACCUUGCCCUAUGACAGACUCACAUCUUGGACAGUCCAGGAGUGCACCUUGCCCUAUGACAGACUCACAUCUUGGACAGUCCAGGAGUGCACCUUGCCCUAUGACAGACUUACAGUAUAGUGCAAGAACGACCACAUUUCAAUUGUUUCUCACAUCUUGAUGCUUAAUUCAAAGCAGAACUGAAUUAUAUAUUAUAAAACUAAAAGCUGCCCCCAGUAGCCAUUCAUAUUUGUUCCUUGAAUGACCAAACAGUGAGCAUGAUGUAUAAGUGAUUAUUUGUAGAGACUAGUUUGAGCUGUUUUGUUCAGUGAAGUGUUAGCUUUGAAAGUGAAAUGCAGUAAGCUGUGAUGCCCCUGAAAGCAUCAUUACAUUUUUUUGUUGUCUUUAUUAAUAGGCAACUAACUUUGUUUGAUUUGUGUCAGUCAGUUCAUAGACAAUCAUUCCUUGAUAAACCCACAGUGCUAUCAUUGGAUUCAUAGCACUGGGUUGCACUGGCCUAGGAGUAGUGUAUAGCAGUGUUUCCCAACUCCAGUCCUCGAGUACCCCCAACAGCACACCAUUUUGUUGUUGGCCCGGACAAACUCACCUGAUUCAGCUCAUUGAGGGCUUGAUGAUUAGUUAACCAUUGGAAUCUGUGUGCUUGUCCAGGGCUACAACAAAAAUCUUUGCUGUUGGGGUUAUUGGACGACUGGAGUUGAGAAGCACUGCUGUGUGGUGAUGGUUCAAACACUAUUUUGAACUGCCUCAAAUAACACUCAUAAUGCUGAAUCAAGACUUGUUAGAAACAAGGAAUACAGGUUUUCAUAAAGUUAGGGCCGAGAGUUUUUCUUGACCACACAACCUGAUGAGUUGUCCAGAUCAGGAAAACUCCUCACCCUAACAAUACCUGACAUGUUCAAAACAUCAUCAGACUGUAUGAUUAGCUUGAGGAGUAGAAUAGAGGCAGGGCUUUACACUACAUUCUGAUCUUCAAUAGAAAAUAAACAAGCAUCAUAAAGUGCCUUCAGGCUGAUCAUGUUGCCAUACUCUAUAUGUUUGCUAACCUCUCACAAUUUUAUUCUGUUUAAUGUUAAAGCCACUAUUUGGUCAGUAUUAGUAAAAGUAAAAAAUGCUCGAAAGAAACAAAUGUGUCAAAGACUACGUGACAAGGUUGUUGCUAUUGUCGGUUUGUAUUAGAGAAUAUGUGCAAUGUUGGCAGUUAAUGCAGUAUACAAUAAUGUCCCCCAAUAUAACAUCCAUGACCAACAACAACAAGUGGUAUAUUGUAGCAAUGGUAAACCAUAAUGGUAAAACGCAUGGAGAAAAUAAAACAUUUAUGACACGGCAUACAGUAUUUCAUCUGUAACUUUAGAUUGUGUUGUAAAUGUAUGCUGUUGUGAUUACUCCCGUUAUAUUGUAAAUAUCCCAUUGAAACACCAGCUUUAAAACUCAUCUAGAAAUCUCACUUAGAGAAAUGCAGCAAAGACAGCUUCCAAAAAAUCCUUAGGCCUGGUCCCUUGAGAGGAAAAAUACAAGUUUUCACUUUUUAAUCUUAUUUUAAAGACUUGGGAGCUACACUCCAUAAUGUAAUCCCAGGAAGCCCACAAACUCCAAUGGACUGGCUAGGAGAAUUCAGAUUUACAGUCUCCUGUCCUACUCACCACUCCAGGGUAUCCAGUCCAGGGUAUCCAGUCUAUCUCUUUACACAGUACAUUGGUCCAUGGUGCAUAAGGGUCAUUGUACUUAGGCUGUGUUUAGACAGGCAGCCAAUUCUUGUUGGUGAUCUUGUUUUUCACUAAUUGGUCUUUUGACCAAUCAGAUUAGCUCUGAAAAAGAUCUGUGAAAGGAUCUGAUGUGAUUGGUCAAAAGACCAAUUAGCGAGAAAUAAAUACUGAAUUGGGCUGCCAGUAUAAAUGUAGCCUUUUAUUGUCAGAUGUGCAUGCAUAACUUGAAUGCAACCAAGCAUAUUGGUUAUGACAGUUGCAGAGGUAUAAUAUGAUAUAUCUGGCAGAUAAUUUUGUGGCAGUCUUUGCAGUCCAAUUUUAGUAAAAUAUUUAGCUAGAAAAUGUGACUGUAAAAAAAUAAAAUUGUCAGGGCUUAUCUAUAGACGGGUUAGCUGACGUCACGAAAACGAUGCGCACGCUUCAAUGGGGCAGAAGACAGUGUGUUGUGAUUCUGGAUGGUCAGAUAGCUAGCAAAAAUGUCAAGAACCUGCCACGUGGGGAAUCUGUAGGUGGCUCGUUUUACCUAGUUCUUGAUACCAUGUCUUGUUUUGAGGCGUUUUGACUGAUGUCACAUCUAUGCUAAUAUUCUGUAACGUUAUAUUUGAGGGACAAGUGUAUGGGGUCAAUUUCACGCUAUAAUUAUUGAAUUCAAAAAUAUUAAAAAAAUGUGAACAUGAAAAAUAAAGUUGGGAAUGUAAACAUAUUUUAGAGAACGG